UGACGCACUUUAACCAGUUCUUUGUAAUAGUCCUAUUUAUUGCUUUGAUCUUGUACAGCAAGGUGAGAACAUAUCUAUUGAUCUGACAUGUUAAUUAGGGAUUUAGUUUUCUCUCGUUCUUCUAGGGGAAUUAACCUUGGGCGGUGGGUAGCACAUAAAAUGCAUGCCCGCCAUAUGUUCGCUAUAUUGCUGCAGUAGGAUUUUAGAUUUUUCGUUCUACCUUGGAUGCACUGAAUACGUGACAUGUUGUGAAAUAAUUAAGUACGGAAUUCUGAGGCUGUAUGAUCUAUUAACAACAUGAAUUGCAUUUUUUCAUCCUUACUGGAUGCUGAGGAUGGCUAGAUUAUAUUUGGCAUUAGCACCAUCGGCGUGUAUGCAAAAUCCUCUUUUUUCUCAAUUAUGGUUAAUGCUAUUGUAUGAUACAUAGAAAUUGAGAUAUGAGGGCACUCUUGCUGUAUACACAUGGUAUGACUAUUCUGAAAAAUCUAAAAUUAUAAAAGCAGAUAAGUUCACGGGUUCACCGGUGGAAGUUCAAGGAAUAAAAGAUCAAAGAAAAGGAGAGUUCAGAAAACGGUAGUACUGUCUGCUGUUGGCUGAUGUCUCCUGUUGCCUGAAGCCCCUGCUGCUUGCUAGCUACUUGUUGUGCGUGCGAGUUUGUGUGCUGCUGCUGUUUGUUGCUGCAGCAGGGUGAUGUGAGAGAGAUAGAUAGAUAGCAAAUGGAAUGAUCUUCCACAUUGACUAACUCGUGACACACUUGGUUCAGUUUCUAAAUUUAAUCUAGUUCAAUUAGAAUUUUAAUUCAGUUCAAAGACUGUUGCUAUUUAUCUCCUUGAUGUUCAGUUUUUUGUUCUGUUGUUUGCCCCAAUUGAUCCUUGUGUUAAUGUUUGUAUAUGUUGUGCACUUCUGAUCCCAUAGUGAAGUGAAAAAUGACAAGCGAGCUAAGUACUAGUUCGGAAAGUUUGCAAGUUUGAACACAUAAACCUAAAAAAGUUCAUUGAAAAAGUUUGGUUUGCCUGUUCCGUGAAAAUGUCUUGCUAAAGAAAUAUCUCUUGUGCACUUAUUUAUUUCGCGCCCCGCCGCCGCCUGCCAUCCCGCGCACCGCCCGCGUCCCGCCGCCGCCCGGCCACCCCGCGCCCCGCCGCUGCCCGAGCCUCCUGCCAGCUACGCGCCCCGCCACUUCAGCGCGUAGGCCGUUCAACUCCGACACCCAGCGCACGUGGAGAACUACAAAAGAGGUUCAGUUUCUGAACUUUUGAACGCCAAGAGGUUCAGUUCGGAACUUGGUAUGGUGGGUGUACUACUGAUAAUCUCAAACUUGUUCCUCUUAACUUCAGUAGAAGAAUUUCUGGGAAUAGAUAAAUGUGUGUAUGCAAAGUGUUGUGUGAUGGGAUGUGGCCUGUGGCUGGGUUAAUUAGCUAGAGAUCUCAAUUAGCUAUGCCGGGGCAGAUCCUUUGUGUCUGUACAGUUUAGGCCAAGAAGAGAAGCAAACGUGCUACUCAUCAUUUGCCAUCAUCCAUCUCUACUCAAAUUAUGUUCAUCUUUUUCAGUUCAUCUUUGAAAUUUCGGUCCAUUUUCUGUUGGCAGGAUGCGUAAAAAAAGUCGAAGGCAGCAACUCAAAAAUAGAUGAAUAUUGGAAGGAAGAUGUAUAAGGCUGAGAGGAAAUAUCAUCUUGAGUUCAACAUUUGGUGUUUCUUCAGGUCACUUUAGCGUGCAUUUUCAGUACAUCUUCCAGUUCAGUGUGUAUUUUAAGAAGAAAAACCAACAAUGGCGGCUGCACUGGAGCCGCAGGACUACUAUUGCUGAUAGGUUUGUGAACUAAUAAACAUUCUUUUUAUGUUCCCGUGAUGUUUCAUAUUUUUGUGAACUGGUAGUUGAUGCUCUUUGUGGACUGAUAGCUGAUACUUUUUGUUAACCGAUAAACUGAAUAAAUGAGAUGGAUGUAUUAUGAGGCCGCGAAAAUGAUGUAAAAAUAUGUGCAGUUCAGCGGAUGAGUAUUAUGCAUGUCCUUCUAAUCUGAAGGUAGUGGCACCACUAAGAAAAACAAAAUAAUCAGUUUUUUGUAGCCACGGAAUGGGCAUUUGGCUCAGUAAUCUUCCAUUGCUAGAGCGCUCAAGCCGUUCACCCUUGCCACCACAAGCCGUUCACUUGCGCCACACGAGGCCGUGCGACGACGCAAUAUCAGAACGUUCACCUCUGCCACAGGAGGCCGAUGCAACGCUAAGAAUGUUUUGUUCUUUUUCAAUACAUGUUUUGUGUGCUUUUUAGUACACCUACUUAACGAUUCUAUGUCCAAUUUCCCCUGUUUAAGUGUUCUUCCUAUAGCACAACAUGAGUUGUGUGUUAUGCCUUCAUAAGCAUUUGAGAAAACCUUGUAUGGAUCGAAACUAGCAUAUGUUAUGUUCUAUUCUUGUAAAUGAAGCUCCACUUUUGUUU